rnacentral:rRNA from 1 species
AUACGAAGGGGGCUAGCGUUGUUCGGAAUCACUGGGCGUAAAGCGCGCGUAGGUGGAUCAAUUAGUUGAGGGUGAAAUCCCGGGGCUCAACCUCGGAACUGCCUUCAAUACUGUUGAUCUUGAGACCGAGAGAGGUGAGUGGAAUUCCUAGUGUAGAGGUGAAAUUCGUAGAUAUUAGGAAGAACACCAGUGGCGAAGGCGGCUCACUGGCUCGGUACUGACGCUGAGGUGCGAAAGCGUGGGGAGCAAACAGGAGUAGAAACCCUAGUAGUCC